AUGGGCUGCACUAUUAGCUUCAGGCCACAGCCAGGCUCGUGCCACAUUUUAGCCUUUUAUCAUUGCAAACCUGGGGACGUGCUGGGAAAAAGUCUGAGUGAAUUGCGUUUCAGCUCAUCCCUUCUUUCACUGCUCACGGCUAAAGCAGCUCUUGUCAGUUUCAUGGCAGUUCAUAAAUAUUGCUGCCUGGGUAGAGAGUGGUAGCAGAAGCGGUACUGGGAGAGUUUGCUGUAAGGAUACGUCCCUUGGAUGCCUCUGCUGAGACUGUGUUGCUGCAGCUCUGUGCUGCUGCGGUGGCCAUGGCAAUGGUGCAUCUGUGGGGUAAACCCACCCUUUUGAUGAGAACAGUCAUGUCCUUGGUCACAGGGAGGGCCUAAGGGCAGCCAGGCUGGGUGCACCCAAGGCUUGGGAUGGCACUGGGGACCUUUGGUUGGGUUGGAGUGGCGGUAGUUGUGUAUCCAGUAAUCCCUAGCAAUUCACUGUAUCCUAAAAUGCUGUUUCAUUAAAGCUGCUCUUGCCUUCCAGAGUGGGGAGGUAGGCCACUGAACCAGCUGUGGUUUUCUGUCAGUUCACUAUACUGGAGUUUGAAACUCUGCCUCUGGGUUUGCCAGUGCUGUUCUUUCUGAUGCUACCCAGUUGUUUUGCAUGGCCUUGAAGUGGUUUCCCAGCUAUUUGAACUCCCUAAAUGACAAUGCUUCAUUACUGUCUGAUGGAGAAGUGGAAUCUUCUGUUUAUAUGUAAAGGUUCCCCUCCUUCCCCCCUACCUCCCUCAACAUAUGCAAAGGCACUGCAGAAACUGGAAACAGAUAAAAAGAAGAAAACGGGCUUUUAAAACGAGUUCUGAAGUGUAAAGAUGUGAAGGCCACUUAGAAAUCAUUGCCUUGCGCUUUCUCCCACACUGUGAUUCAUUUGGUCCAAUCCAUCAUUGAUUCAACAUGCUCAUCCGCCAGAGCCUUCAAAGACAACUGUGCAUCUGCUUUCGCCAUUCAUCAAGGAGGAGCACAAAGGAGAAGGGCAAAGGAAAAUGUAUUGCCAGCUCCCUUUGGUGCUGUUUAAUGGGUGUGAAAAAAGG
rnacentral:lncRNA from 1 species